GGGCCCGCACAAGCGGUGGAGUAUGUGGUUUAAUUCGAUGCAACGCGAAGAACCUUACCAGGGUUUGACAUCCUGCGAAUUUCUGGGAAACCGGAAAGUGCCUUCGGGAGCGCAGUGACAGGUGGUGCAUGGCUGUCGUCAGCUCGUGUCGUGAGAUGUUGGGUUAAGUCCCGCAACGAGCGCAACCCACGUCUUUAGUUGCCAGCAUUUAGUUGGGCACUCUAGAGAGACUGCCGGUGAUAAACCGGAGAAGGUGUGGAUGACGUCAAGUCAUCAUGCCCCUUACAUCUGGGCUACACACGUACUACAAUGCUACGGACAAAGGGCAGCAAGUUCGCGAGGACAAGCAAAUCCCAUAAACGUGGCUCAG
rnacentral:rRNA from 1 species